rnacentral:tRNA from 2 species
GCGCUCGUAGUAUAGUGGUCAGUAUGCUGGGUUCCCAACUCCGCGACCCGGGUUCAAUUCCCGGCGGGCGCA